AAGGAUCAUUACCGAGUUAGGGUCCUCUGGGCCCCAUCUCCAACCCUUGCUUAUUCUACCACGUUGCUUCGGCGGGCCCGUCCUUAACCGGACCGCUGGGGAUUUCUGUCCCCGGCCCGUGCCCGUCAGUAGGCCCGACAAAUUCUUCUCACAGUGAUGUCUGAGUACAGUUAUAAUAAACAAAACUUUCAACAACGGAUCUCUUGGUUCUG
rnacentral:misc_RNA from 1 species